UACGUAGGGGCCUAGCGUUGUCCGGAAUUAUUGGGCGUAAAGAGCUCGUAGGCGGUCUGUCGCGUCUGCUGUGAAAACUCAGGGCUUAACCCUGAGCUUGCAGUGGGUACGGGCAGACUAGAGUGCGGUAGGGGAGACUGGAAUUCCUGGUGUAGCGGUGAAAUGCGCAGAUAUCAGGAGGAACACCAAUUGCGAAGGCAGCUCGCUGGGACGUAACUGACGCUGAGACGCGAAAGCGUGGGGAGCAAACAGG
rnacentral:rRNA from 1 species